AUUGAACGCUGGCGGCAUGCCUUACACAUGCAAGUCGAACGGCAGCACGGGAGCAAUCCUGGUGGCGAGUGGCGAACGGGUGAGUAAAGUAUCGGAACGUGCCCAGUCGUGGGGGAUAACGUAGCGAAAGUUACGCUAAUACCGCAUACGAUCUAUGGAUGAAAGCGGGGGAUCGCAAGACCUAGCGCGAUAGGAACGGCCGAUAUCAGAUUAGGUAGUUGGUGGGGUAAAGGCUCACCAAGGCGACGAUCUGUAGCUGGUCUGAGAGGACGACCAGCCACACUGGGACUGAGACACGGCCCAGACUCCUACGGGAGGCAGCAGUGGGGAAUUUUGGACAAUGGGCGAAAGCCUGAUCCAGCCAUGCCGCGUGCAGGAUGAAGGCCUUCGGGUUGUAAACUGCUUUUGUACGGAACGAAAAGGUUUGGGCUAAUAAGCUGAGCUCAUGACGGUACCGUAAGAAUAAGCACCGGCUAACUACGUGCCAGCCGCCGCAGUAA
rnacentral:rRNA from 1 species